GCGCGGCCCCGCGGGCUGGGGCUGUGCUCCUCGGCGCGGCCCGUGUCCUUCCUUCCCAGCGUGGGCACUCCGCGUCCCGGCUCUCCAAGGCUUCUAAUGUGAGGAAAAACAUGGAAUGACAAGUAUGGGAAAGACUAGGCACUAAAUUACUGUCAGAAAAAUAAAGGGAGUAGCACCACGGUGCUGGGUGAUUUACGGGGGCAAUUAGUCACCACCCCACGCCAUGCUGAGGACUGCACAGCAGUGGACCUGGCAGACCCACGAAAGAAGAGCCUUUGCCCUGCUCUCCAGACAACUUUUCUGACAAGAGGAGAUCUAGCACAUUCGGUUCCAGGUCUUUGGUGUGGGUGCCAACGUUCCUCCUGAAUGUAGUUUGAGCACAAUAUUAAAACUGCUCUGUAUAUGCUAAAAAGCCUCCCACUGCAUUGUCCAAAGUGGAGUCCCCCCACCCCGAAUAAAACAAACAAGUUUGCUCACUCCUUAAUAAUC